rnacentral:lncRNA from 1 species
GGAUCAUUCACCAUGCAUGUGGUAAUCCACAUAGACAGGUUAUUCCAAUAGAAUAAUAAAGAAUGGAAUAACAGAAGAAUUCACCAUGCAUGCGAUAGACCGCACAGACAGGUUAUUCCAACAGAAUAAUAAAGAAUGGAACCAGUUCAUGCGUAAUCCGCACAGACAGGAUAUUCCAACAGAAUAAUAAAGAAUGGAACCAGGUCAUGCG